AAACUAUUUAAAACUUUGUUUUGAAAACAAAGUUUAAGAUUAUUCUUGUAGUUUU
rnacentral:tRNA from 1 species